CUUCGCCUCCUACAAAUAUCUGAUCCUCCAUGUUCGGACGGUUUAGGAGCAUCCGCUUCCACUUCCGCAGUUCCACUGCCACGAGAGAAACGCGGAGGAGGAGAGCGAGAGGGACGAAGAGGCGAACAAUGGCGCUCCUAUGCUUCAUGCUCGAUCUCCGCAACAUCCCCCCUCCCCUCCUCCGCGAUCUCAAACAGUGUUUGCUGCAGCUCGCGAAUCUCUACGUGAUGUCGCGGGGGAGAGGGGAGAGGGAGGGGGAGGCGGGUACGAAGGAGAUCCUCGCCCUACGAGAUCGGAUAGGUUUGUGCUACAUCGACCGGAGCAGGGCCCCUUCGUCCUCCGCCGAGCUGAAGAUUGCAUAUCGACCUGGAGAAAGAUUCAGUCUCCGAGAUUUUCAUCAUGCUGUAAACAGCUUACCCGUAGAUAGCUUUCUGCCUGAACUGAGAGACUCUAUGCAUGCCAAAAGUGACGAUCGAGACGUAUCACUGGCAACACUUUUCAGUAAUAAGGCGCUGUAUGCAUGGGGUGGUGAUGAAGUAUCAAAAAAGGUGAUUGCUAUUUGUAUGUCUUCAUGCAUGAAAACUGAAGCUAUUCGUAAAUCUCUUCUGGAUGCAGCAGAACAAUGUGUUACGGUGGAGUUUCUACUACUGGAUCCCGAAGAGGAAAACACACUGAAUGAUGCUUCUAAGGCACUUUGUGGAUUUGUAAACCAACUGUGUGAUCUUGAAAACUGUGUGAUCCGGAGGUACAUACCUGAUUCUUCAGUAUUGAACAGCCUAGUUAAGAGAUGGUUAGAAGAGCUAAAGAAUGAUGCAGAAGAGCCACUUCAAGCUGUCUUUCUCUUCAAAAAUGCAAGUCUGGGUUCUUCUGAUCGAAUAUCUUGCAAUUUGUUUGCUUCCUUCUGUCAGAUUAUUGAUGGUUUCGUAUCAUGUCAGACAUGCAGGUGCCACGGCCAUCCAAUUGAUAGCAGAGUCGCUGAUAAAAUGAGGAAAUCAUGUCCUCUUACCUUCCAAGAACUAGAGGCGUCAGAUCUCAUUGAUAAUGCAGUAAAGGUUGGAGAACAAACUAUCUUGUUUCUUAGCUCUUUUGAAGGGGAUUCAGACCUCCGACGAGUUUCUGCACCGAUAACUUUCAAUGUAAUGGAGCGAACAAACUUGGCAUCCCUAGAUGAAGGUGUGAUAGUGGGGACAUCCUAUAUGGUUUCUCCCAGUUCUCAUGACAUUGAAGCUACCCUGGAUGAAUGUGAUAAGUCGAAUCUGAAUACUCAACUUUUUUAUGGUCUAUGUGGAGCUCUUUACCGUCUAGAUCAGGGACUUGUAUGCUAUUCAACAUGUAAUAUGGAAACCAUGAGAGAUGGCUCCUUCCUAUGUUUUUAUAUUCUUCAACCUUCAGAGAAGGGGCUAAUGCUUCUAAGGAGGCUUGCUGGAUCUGAAGAAAUCUUGCCCAUUCCUAAUGUUAGCAAAGCAUGCGAUGUCACUAUAUCAGAAGAGAUUAAGAGCUCCAUCCAUGCCUCUUUAUCCAAGAUCGAACUAAAAGAUUACAACCCUCUCCAUCACGAAAGAGGUUACCACCCAAAAGUAAACUGGCUGGUGAGACAGAGUCUACAAUUUGGAUCGGCUGCUCCAAAUUGCCCUGAAAUAAGUCUGAAACCAAGCAAUCCUGAAUCCCUUAAAGAAGAAAAGAAGAAGACCUGUUCUAGUGUUACGGAUGAGUGGGAGAAACUUCUCAUUGUUGAUGAUGGAAUGAAUGAUAGCUAUGGAGAAACCUCCUCCUCCAGUUCAAAACCUAAGAUUCCGAGUCUGAAAAUAUCAGCUCAGCCUAAACUGUUGGAUGAGAAAACCUCAAGAAUUCUCGAGAGACUUGAAAUCCCGAAGCCUCAGAAAAGAAAGAAUUCUUCACCCUCAGUUCCCAUUAAUAAUGUUGUUAGUGAGGAGACGAAGAAGCCGUUGAUACCUUUUGAGCCAAGCUCAAGUCAGCCGCUAAAGCCCAACUUCCAGAGGCUGAAAAAGAAGCUGAAAUAGACACACAAGAAUUAGAGGUGCUACUUUGAUUUGUCUAGUUCGAAAUAAGUUUGCUUAUUGCUAGAAGUUUAGUUUUACUUGGUAAUAAGAUUUGUGAUACUUCAUAAAUGGAACGUUUUGUCAGUAGUAAGUCCUUUUCAAACCUGUCUUUGUCAGUGAAAGAGCUAAUCCAAGGUUAGGUAUAUAAGCAGGACAGUAACAUUCCUAGAGCCCAGGCUUUAUCUAGUAGGCCACACAUUGUAUUGCAUUUCCUUUUCAGAUUGUCUCCCAUCAUUGGCUGUCUGAAAAUUGUGUUAGUAGUGAUGAUUUUGGUUUCCCUUGGUAAUUUCAUAUCAUGGUCAAGUCAUAUAAUAGUGCCGUGUUAGAAAUAGCCACUCCUAACGGGAUUACAUCCGCAUCCGUCGGCAGCUUGAUUGCUCGCCAUGAGCAAUCUUAUUACGUGUGGAAGUUGUGUCAUGAGGUGAACUGGUAGAAACUUCCAUGUUGAAAACCAAAGUUUGCAGAACUCUAAAUUCUUCUCGAACGUCAAGUCAAGGUAGUAAAGUAACCCGAUCAUGGCUUCAUUUGCAGUUAGGGAUCGUGAACCACUUAUGAAGUUUUUGGCAUUCAGUUGGAGACCGCGAAUCUGCCGAUCGUGAUCCACCCUGUGCAGUUUUUUCGCCUUAAGGUACACAUCUCCUUUUCUCCUGACAAAUAUUUUUUAACUGAAGUGCUAUGAUUUAGGUAUGUAAAUGACUUUACCGCAUAGACUUGAGCUAGUUGGGUUAGUAUUACUAUUGGAAGGGUAGAUAGGGUGAUUGCAAUUGACGUGCUCUCCUCAUCAAUGGUCCCCCUUAGUAUAUAUAUAUUUGUCUAAUAUCGUGCCAUUAUCGUCCACUCUUUGUACGCUGAUGCAUCGGUCGGUUGGACUGUACUGUACACCACUUUCAAACUGGUGGCUAGUGGAGAUUAAUUGCAUACUAGAGUUUUCUGUUUGUUUCAUCAUGUUUCAUCAGAUAGUGAUGGGCCAUAUGUGGAGUUUGUGUUUUCAUUCA